UUUCGCAUUUCUCUGGGAAAUGCAUGCUUCUGGCAGUCAGCUUGCAGUAUGUAUUUCAUAUGAAUGGAAUUUAUUUGCAGAUUUGUCCCGUUCAGUAUUUUAAAAGUGACUGGAACAGUGAGUUUUGUGCACAACGGAGGCUGCUUCUAAGUAGAAUUGCUUGGCCUGCCCGUUCGGCCACGCUUGUGUUUUAGGAGGCGCAUGGAGCAAAUUGUUCCCCGCGGAAGCUUUGCAGUAGCCUGGGGAGGCAGCCGAUGGCGGGCUGCGAUGCUCACGCUGGAGCUGGAUCCGUUAUGGUUAUUAAUAAAGCAGGAAGAAUGUUGCAAAAAAACAAGUACAAGAAAAAAAGCUGAUGAGGAUGAAGACACAAAGAAACUCCUUUUCUUGAAGAGGAAUGUCCUAAUUUUGGAAUUAAGUUCUCCGAGAUCUUCCCUCUUCCAUCAGAUUUGUUAGACCUGGCCAACGAACUCCAAGGGUGGGAGGGAGAGAUGGAUAGAGCACAGUCCUCAGGACAGAACAAGCCUUGGUUCCCUGAACAGGAGAGAAAUUGCCAAAAAGCUGAACUUGUCAGCAGAACGGGAAGCAGAAAAUUCAGUGGUGUUCUCUGUGAAGUGCAGUGCUUGAGCCUUGAAAGCUGUAUUUGAUGAGAAGAGCCUGUUCCCAAGAGAAAUUCAUGAUCACGAACAAAAAAGCAAGGCAACUCUGUGAGCAAGUGUGCAGUGAAGGCAAGAUAAGAAGAAAUAAGAAGCAAGCAAAGCUGGAAGAAAAAUAAAGCUCCUCUUACAAAGGCAGUGUGCCCCCAGGUAAAGGCUGAGCUGAGUUACAGCCCCUCCGCUGACUAAAGAGGAUCAGAAGUUGCUGCUGGUUUCCUUUUCUAUGGGAAGAGAGAAAGGGGACAUGGUACAGAGCAAUCCCCCACGGACCCACGCAGGAUAAGAUCAUCACAAACCCUCCGUAAUAGAUUGGUUUCAAAUACAGAGCUCCGAACUCCGUUUCAAAAGUGGUUGCAAGGUAACCAAAAAUGUCAGGUAAAUUGGGAUAGAAGUGAGUAUUUCUUGAGGUCUCAUCGUCCCAUUAAACCAAAAUGUCGUUCCCUCCAUUAAUUUCUUACCGAAGGCAGACUCGGCAGCCUCUCGGUACAAAGCUGGCGCACACCUGUUGUGGGCCUUGAUGCAUUAAUCAAAUUGUUUUUCAUGAUAAGCUUGGCUGUGUCUGUGGUUUUGUCUUUAUUUUUCAAGGCAAACCUACUUAAAAACCGAACGGUGGGGAGGUGUGAUACUGUUUUCUAGGUAGUUUUACACUUUAAUCCUUUAAACGGCUUUUGCAAACAGUUAAUGUAUUAGUGAUGGUUAUUGACGUGAGACGGUGCUGCAACAGUAGUUAGUGACAGCUAUUAACACAAGAAAGCUAAAUAAUUUAAAUUGUGUUUGGUAUUACCACUGCCUAAAUCCAGGUUAUAUUUGCUUAAGCUUUCAGCAGCACACCAGAGCGGUAAGCGUGGGCAUCAUCUCUUUUCCCAGUUCGCUAUUGAUCUCAACAGAAGCUGUUUUGGAAAACUUGACUGAAUUAAAUAUAUAUUUAUCUCUGAAACAUAACAUGUUUGGGCACUGAUCCAAAGCCCAUUAAAGUAAAUGGGAAGAGUCCCAUUGGUUCUAUUUCUUUGCAGAUGAUGCAAGGUGCAGGUGAUAAACAGAAUUAUGGGUUUGGUGCAGGCUUCUCAAAAGAGCUGAAGUGAGAUGCUUUUAAAAUCCCUGCCUUCAGCUCCUUAAUGUGAUUGAAGUUUAUACUCUAGGUUAGCACAUUAGACAUAUCCUAUUUCUUUGUAUAGUGCUUGUCCAGUGAUAAAUAAGAUUCCCAUAAAAGAAAAUAAAUAUGCUGUGGCAGUUCUUUGAACGGAGGAAAAGGGGGUGUGGGUGCCAGCGAUCCUUUUGAAGUCACUAUCGGAAACUAGCAGUUCCAAAUGAAAGUUUGACUUGGUAAAUGUUACUUAAGGUCAGAGUUAUACCAGUAGCUUUUGUCAUUUUGACUUAAUUCUGGACAGAGGCACCAUACAAUUGAAAAUCCAGGUUGAUAUUUGCCAUGAGAGCCACUCUCUACUUGCAACAGAGUAUUUCAAAGUAAUUAAAAGAACGUAGGGGCUUGGUUGUGUGUUAAGAGUGACACAACGUUUGUGUAUGUAGGAUUUGCUACUCAAAUCAGGCAAGCAAGUCAAUCAUCAAACUUGUUUCCCAGGAGGGAAGAAACGCUCUAUUCUAAGUCGUGAAACAAUUUUCAUUGUGUCUCUGAGUGGGAUAUUUAAAGAAAUAUGUUUCCUUAAGUCAAGUGAUACUUGUAAGAAAGCCAUAAAUAUGAAUUGUAACUUUUACUUACAUGGAUUUUUGCAUGAUUAGAUCCGACAUCCGUUCAGAUGCAGAAGUUUACUUUAGGGGCUGAUAUACACGAAGUCCUGUUACAGGUCAGAGACAAUGCUCCCAACAGAUGUAGACAAGUUCCUUACAUAUGAGCUGAAGACAUUGAGCAAUAAAACUUCAGAAAAGUCAGCACUGUUUUAUCUGAUUUUCUCAGACAAGCGUUGUACUUUGAAGAUAAGUCAUUUUCCUGGUUUCAGUAAUUUAAUUGGUUUCAAUCAUUCGGAGAGGAAAAAGUGCAAUGAACUGUGCUAUAAUGACAAGUGCUUAAUAGCAAAGCUCUGCUUCCACUGUUAUUGGGAUGUCCCUGGCUUGGAGAUGAGCUCUGUCCCCGCGAUGCCGAGCGCUGGGCAGCUGGCGCUGGGUCUCCAUCAGGCCCUUCACCCUUCUGGGUCCUGCUCUAAGUCUUGAAAUGGGGUGGUGGGGGUUAGAGGAACAAGCACUUCAAACAAGCUGUUGAGAUGCUAAGGAAACACUGAUGGCAAGUAUCUCCUGAUCUGCUGUUGUCUGUACUGCAUAAUAAAGGUAUGGA